rnacentral:rRNA from 1 species
CCUACGGGGUGCUGCAGUGGGGAAUAUUGGACAAUGGGCGAAAGCCUGAUCCAGCCAUGCCGCGUGUGUGAAGAAGGCCUUCGGGUUGUAAAGCACUUUCAGUGGGGAAGAAAGCCUUGGGGCUAAUACCCUCGAGGAAGGACAUCACCCACAGAAGAAGCACCGGCUAACUCCGUGCCAGCAGCCGCGGUAAUACGGAGGGUGCGAGCGUUAAUCGGAAUUACUGGGCGUAAAGCGCGCGUAGGCGGUCUGAUAAGCCGGUUGUGAAAGCCCCGGGCUCAACCUGGGAACGGCAUCCGGAACUGUCAGGCUAGAGUGCAGGAGAGGAAGGUAGAAUUCCCGGUGUAGCGGUGAAAUGCGUAGAGAUCGGGAGGAAUACCAGUGGCGAAGGCGGCCUUCUGGACUGACACUGACGCUGAGGUGCGAAAGCGUGGGUAGCAAACAGGAUUAGAUACCGAGUAGUC